rnacentral:lncRNA from 1 species
GUGGUUGCCCCCCUUCACCCCUAUCUAGCUUCACCACCGAUGCUAGCUAGGGAGACUAAAUUUCUAAAUAAAAUUCUGUAAACUAAAUGACAUGUAAGUUGAUGAUUGCAUUAUUACUUAAGUAUUGAUAAACGUUCUCAUUCAUAUUGGUGACACAUCAUUUAGUUUCCAAAAUUUUAUAUAGAAAUUUAAUCUCCCUAGCAUUACCCAUAAGAAAUAAGCAUGCUCAUCAUAACUUAAAUAACAAUCUCAUUAUCAUCUUUCACGCCAUUUAGUUUAAAAAAAAUUAAUCUACACAUUUAUUCUCUCUUGCAUUACUUUUUGGCUAAAUUAAGUCUUUUCUUCAACCGAAUUGAAGCACGUCUUUUUAUAAAAUGGUAAUGCUAGUAAAACUAAAUUGGGUAAAUUACAUAAUAGCCCCUCAGGUUUGUGGUCUAUUACAACCCCGUACAACAUCUUUAAAACAUUUUACUUUCAUACCUCAUGUACUAUUUUAUUUCAAAAUAAUACAUCCGUUAUAUUUUCUAUCCAUUGAUCCGUUAAGUGCUGACGUGGCUGCCACAUUUAUGCCAUGUGGCUGCCAAAUGUGCGCCAUGUGGCAAAAAAAAUAAUUUUUUAAUUUAAAAAAAAAACCUGAAUCUUCUAAAUUUAAAAAAAAAAAAAAAAAAAAACCAAAAGCUGAACCCACAACCCCCACCCCCCACCCCCCACCCACCUAACCUGCAACCCAAAAGAAGAAGAGGAGGAGAGGAAAAAAAAAAAAAACAAACAAACAAACCCAUCUUCAUCUUCCCCGACCCCUCAUUCCUUGCAACCCACCCUUUCUUCCCCCUCCCGUCUUCCCCAAACCCACCGUGCACCCAUCCUCCACCUCCUCCUCCGCACCCACUACCUGCAACCAGAAAAGAAAAGAAAAGAAAAAAAAAACCCAUAUCCCUUUCCCUGCAACCCAAAUCCCAUUCUCCCCAAUGAAUCUGGAUUUAAGGAGUGAGGUGUGUAGAGGAUGGAAAAGGAUGCAUGCGAGGGUGGGUGCGCUGAGUUUUUUUUUUUCUUUUCUUUUCGGGUUGCAGGUUGGGGGAGGGGGGGAUCUGGGUUUUCUGGAAUAUUUUUUUUUUAAUUUAGAAGAUUUAGGUUUUUUUUUAAUUAAAAAAAAAAAUUGCCACGUGGCACACAUUUGGCAGCCAUGUGGCAUAAAUGUAGCAGCCAUGUUUGCACUUAACGGAUCAAUGGAUGGAAAAUGUAACAGAUGUAUUAUUUUGAAAUAAAAUAGUACGUAAGGUAUAAAAGUGAAAUGUUUUAAAGAUGUUGUAUGAGAUUAUGAUAGACCUUAAACCUUAGGGCCUACUAUAUAAUUUACCCAACUAAAUUUUUUGAAUUAAAUUUGUAAAUCAUAUGAUGUGGUUGUAGAUGAUUGGAUUAUUAAUUAAGUAUCAAUUUAUGUGCUUGUUUCUUAUCAGUGACACAUCACUUAAUUUGCAAAUAUGAUAUAAAAUUUUGAUCUCCAUAUAAUUAUCCUUUAUAAAAAAACAAACAUUGCAUCUUCCGUCCUCCUUCACCCACCACAUUGUUGAUUCGCUUAUUGCAAUUUUUUUUAGGGAGUUUUAACGAAAAGCCCACGGUACUGUUACCUUUAACGAAAAACCACAUUUUUACACUAAAAAGUCAAACCUGCUACUAUUCACUUUACCCUUUAUUUGUCCUUAUCAUUAAAACUCAAAGUUUUCAAGCCCUUUUCAUUAGUUUUCUUUUUUUUUUAUGAUUAUUAAUUUUAAAUCAAUCACAUAUAUAUGCUAUAUAUUUGCUGUCUUUAAUUUUUUAUUAAAAAUAUGAAGGCAUUGAAAAUGGUCCUUAUUGUAAGUACAAAUAAAACACUAACUGCAGCAUAUAUCUACACAAUGUGAAUGCAGGAAUUACAGCAGAGAAUUCAAAGAGUAACUGAUAAAUGGGGGCCAAAUGGAAGACAGCCUUCAAUGACUAUAUAUGAAGAGGAAAUGGGCAAAACUAGGAAGGACAUUGUUGAUUUCCACGGCGAGAUGGUGCUCUUGGUGAACUACAGCAACAUCAAUUACACAGGUAGUCCAUGGCUGAUGAAGCUAAUUAAUAAGCUCAUGCCAAUAUUAUACAGCAAUCCUUCAAGAACUUACAUUCCACCCUCCACUUCCCAUUCUUCUUUUUCCCCUCUGCUAGUAAAUUACUCUCUCUACUAAAUUUCUCUCUCUCUCUCUCUCUCUCUCAAGGGAAGGGAUCUCCAUUUUUCAAAAAAAAUGGGAACACUCUCUUGACCAUUAGAUUUGACUUUAAUGAAAUUCUGUGGCUGAGAUUAAAUCACAGGCUACAGAAUCUCAACCACAGGAUUUUAUUAAAGCCAAAUCUAACGGUAAAGAGGAUGUUCUCAUUUUUUUGAAAAGUUGGGAUCUCUUCCCAAAAGGCCAUUCGUAUGUGCGAGUGAGCGUAAUAUAUAUGUAAAACAUUUUUCCCACACCAAUAAGGCCGAGGGUCAUCUUCGUCUCAAGCGCAUGGAACAGGCCUUGCAAAUAAUUCAUGAUUCGACAUAUACUUGACAAUUUUUGGGUUUUGUAGGGCUGGCUAAGAUACUGAAGAAGUAUGACAAGAGAACAGGUGGCCUACUGAGAUUGCCAUUCAUUCAAAAGAUUUUGGAGCAGCCAUUUUUUACAACUGACAAUAUCUCAAAGCUGGUCAAGGCAUGUGAGAGUACCAUAGAUGCAGUGUUCCCAGUGGAGGAAGAAGAGAGAAAAAGAGAAGUGAAAGAAGCAGUAACGGUCGCCGGAGAAGGAAUAUUUAGGAACACAGUUGCAGCCCUACUCACCAUGCAAGAGAUUAGAAGAGCAGGCAGCUCUACUUAUAGCCAGUAUUCUCUUCCACCUCUCAACUUGGAUGCUGACAGCUCUGAUCUCACCCAGUUAUUCCAACUGAGCCCUCCCAUACCUAUUGUUUAGUUAUAGGAGCUAGAAUUAAUAAAUGAGCAGACAAAUUAAUUGGAGUUAUAUAUAGCACAAGAACUGGAACAUGUCGAAUUUAUGUUUUUAUUUUUAUUUUUAAUUCUAGGCAAUAUUUUUACUCUAAGCUAGACAGCAAAGAGGAGGACAAUUUGGACUUGAGGAUGAAGUUGCAUGAACAGGAAGACCAUAUCUACCAUCCCUUUAUUUUUUCCCUUCUCUCACUACCACUAGGAUAAAAAAAACACUUGCGGGGCCAAACUUUACAUGAUGCAUCAAAUUUCAUCGCACAAUGGACACUUCCGCAAUGAAACUAGGGUAUUAUAGCGCAAAGAUGGCUUGACCAUAAAAAAUUAUUGAAAACAAUUAUGCGAUGAAGGUUUUCGUCGGGCAAUACGCAUUUGCACUACGAAACUAAAUAUUCGUCGUGCAAAGUUUGAGAAAAGACGCAACAAGAUGGGGACUUGGCGCCAACAUCUCGCACGAAGACGCUUUUUUCUGCCAAAAUCUUGCGUGACAAAUGUAUCACUACAAGACAGCACCACAUUUAUCACAGUUAAUUCACCACGGACAUAAAAAACACGUUGUAGAAUAUCGAGUAUUACCACGGACAUUUAAAGUCGGUUAUGAGUAAAUGGUUUUAACAACGGGCAAAAUUGGCCCGUAAUAGAACAUGUUAGAAUAAUAACGCGCAAGUAAAGCUCGUUGCAUUUAUUUGAUAUAACCACGAGGGUAGCCCGUUGUUGAAAUAAAUUUAAUCACAGCGCCUUCUUGAAAUCAAUCACGGUAUAUGAAUGUUGUAGGUUAAUUUAUUUAAUAUUACUCUCAAAUUUGUUAUCAGAACCAACUCUAUCUUAAACCCAAUCUAUAUACCAAUUCCAGAUCUGAUACCACCAACCACCCAGUCUCACCCAUUCGCUUCCUUCGACGGUUUAUCUGAAAUCUCCAAACUACUCAUUUCUCUCUCCAAAGCCCCCGCCCCCCUCUUCUUCGAAAUCGCAACCAUCUUCUAUCCGGCGCCCACACAAGAACUCGUCACUGACGCAGAGCCCGCCAGAAGCUUUCUCUAGAGAACAACAUGUCGGUCGUCGUCCCCAUGGCCUCGCCCAGUCGCUGGCUCGACUUGGAUGACCAGCCAUUCCUCAAUUCCAGGAUUAGUAUGUCUCUCGAUUUCUUUGUAAAGAUAUUAAAAUUUAAUUCCGUUUAUUGAAAUGAUACCGUGAUUAUUCUGCAAUUAAAGUGUAAUUAUGAAUAAGUAUGUUUUUUACAAUUCAAUUUUGGCUAAAUGUGAUAAAGAUGAAAGCUUUACUUAGUUUUGGUUCAAUACGAUAAGGUGCAAGAGAAAGGGAUAUGUUGAUAACUAGGAGGCAAGCAUGCCUUCUCCAAGCAUGACCAAGCAUAGAACGAGCAGUGUGAAAAUUUUCGGGGUCGAAUUGUGCCCUGACAAUGUCGCUGUUGCCAUGGUAUUUUGUUCAAGGUGUCCUAGGCCUUGCAGGGCUUGCUGUCUGUUUUUAACUUUCCAUUUAAAAGACGAUUUGCAUCUCGACCUGGCUGAGGUACAUUUACAUUCACACUUUCUGUUAUUUUUUGGAACUGGUUUGCUUUACAUUUGUAGCUGUAGUUAUUAAAAGUGGCAUUCUUGAUGAAUUGUGAACUUAAAUUGACGUUGGUAUGCACUGAUUGGUAAAGAAUUUGCUUUGAGAAUGCUGAUUAGUAUGAAAAUGGUGCUAACCGGGGUACGAUAGUGGGAUUCUAGCUUUGAAUUACUGAUGUGAGACAUUGUUUUUCUUUGAUAAGUGAAUUGUUUGUAUAGUUUUGGUUUCUGACAAAUUUAUAUGUGAAGGAUCUCCCUCAAUUGGUCCCGCUCUCAUUUUCAAUUUUGAUGUCCUCGAAGACUCAACGAUGCUAUCUUUGAACCUAUUUUUGUUUGUUUUCCUAAUUUUUUGGCAUUUUGUAGGCGAACUGCUAUUAUAGUGACUAAUAGAAGUAGAAAGAAGGAACAAGGGGUUGAAAUUUGGCUAAUUCUGCCAAUAUAGAUGUUUUGCAAGUGGCUGGGUUUUGCUAGUUUAAAGGUCUAAUGCUUCUUUUUCUUUUACUAUUGCUUUUGUUAAUUCAGGGUUAUUAAACAUAUUACAAUUUGCAAGUUACUCUUGAAUUAUUAAGCUUUCAUUUAAAAAUAAAUAAACCAAGGAAGGAAAAACAAUGAAUUGAGGUAUAUUUGAUAUGUAUGCUAUUUUGCACUAUAGUGAAUCGUAUAGAUCAAUUAAAUUCUAGGCGGCGAAUCUUCACCAUUGAUGAAAUUGUGAUUCUAUGUUUAACUUCUACAGGUGUGUCCUCUGUAUAUUUCUAUAAUUUCAAUUUCUGAAAUAUCUAUUGUUUAUUAGAUUUACUUUCGAUAUGGUCACUAUUGUUUAUGGUUUAUAAAAAGAUAAAAUCUAUGUUUAUGGUAUUGGUUUGGUUAAUCUUGUAUAGUAUAUAUUUGCAGAAUUAUACGUAGUGGCUCUAUUUAGUAGGUUCAUAAUCUAAUCAUGUGUUUUAUCUUUUCUCAAGGACUCCUCUUAUUAUAAUUUGUCAAGAGUUCAAUUGCAAAGGAAUGCAUGAGUAGAAAGGUUUAGAGGCAGAAACUCUAUUCACUUUUCUUGAUUGAGAUCAAAUGUAUAUUUCCACCUAUACGAGUACCAAGAUUUUUUUUCUUGUGAUCCAUAUGCUUUUGUCCAUGCAAAUAGAGAGUCAGCAAUUGUUGAGGCUCAAGUAUUAGGGGCAAUAGUUCACUCUCAAGGUCCUUUGUUUGGAGAUGUUCAAAGAAAUCUGAAGUCUUCAAGUGUUCUUGUUAUUGGAGGCAUAUUUGAUACUUUGUGGAUAGUUUGGUAUUUCUAGUAUAACUCAUCGUUAGCUUUAGUGUGCAGUUUGUAAUAUUUGAUUUUGCAAUUUGUUUAUGUAAUUAUUAUAUUGUAGUAAAUUUGUUUAUAUAUUAAAUGAUUUAUUAUUAUUAUUUUUUUAUUUUUGGAAAUUUUUUUAUGACGGUCAUUAGCCGUGGUCAAUUUGUAAUUCACAACGGCUAUAAUGAAUGUGGUGUUAGAUCACAAUCUACCACGGGCACAAUCCGUGUUUAUUUCACAUUUGACAACGGGCAUAGUCCGUGGUAGAAACUAAGACUUUCUAUCACAUCCAGAUUACUAACGGGCACAGUGCCCGUGGUGGAUUGCAAUCUAUCACGGGCAUUGACCGUGGUAGAUGAGCUUUUUUCUACUAGUGUAUCGUCACGCAAAGUUUCUUGAAAUGGUUUGUUAAACAUUUAAGGAUGAUUAAUUAAUGCAAGCUUUGCGUGACGAAUCUUUCAUCGCUCAAAGGUUUCAUAUGUUAUAUAAAAUCACAGAUCCACUCUCCAUUUUCCUCUCAUCCUUUUCCCCAAAACUGUCAAGGCCCCCUCAUUUGCUUCUUCCCAAAACCCCUUAUGUCCCAAUUCUUGUUUUACUUUUCUGUACGAUGGUUGAUUUCAUUGCUGCUCCAACUAACCAAGGGUGUGAGGGCCAAGGAUCUCGGAAAGGUAAUAUCAAAUUUUGUAUGGAUUUAAUACUUUUUGUUUUGUUGUGGAAAAAAAAUUAUUUGAUCAUUAUCAUAAAAUUGGAUGUGUUUGUACCAUACUUGACCAAUCCCGAAACUACUGAGCAUCGGUCAACGUUAUACCGUCAAGGACCCAGAAGAGUUUCCCUCAAACUAGAAGGCCAAUCACAGCGCGACACGUGUUGAUAUCAGAAGCCAAUCAUAACGCGACACGUGUCGACAUCAGAAGCCAAUCACAACACGACAUGUGUCAAUGUCAAAAUGAAACUAGAAACUUUCUUCUAUAAAUAGAGAUCAUUCUCUCACAAUAUUUCCUGAUGUCAUUUGUACUAAAUCAUUCACUAGUACUCACUAAAGGAGAGCUUGAACCUAUGUACUUGUGUAAACCCUUCACAAUUAAUGAGAACUCCUCUACUCCGUGGACGUAGCCAAUCUGGAUGAACCACGUACAUCUUGUGUUUGCUUCCCUGUCCCUAUCCAUUCACAUACUUAUCCAUACUAGUGACCGAAGCAAUCUAGCGAAGUUCACAAACUUAACACUUUCUGUUGUACCAAAGUCCUCAUUGAUUUUGUGCAUCAACAUUUGGCGUCGUCUGUGGGAACGACACUUAUUCUCACUCUCUUCAGCUUUGUUGAGCUGGUUUCCACCAUUUGUACACUCUCUUUUGACCAGGCAUCCCUUUCUAACAUGGGGAGCGAAGGAAGCCACAUCACACAGAAUGACACCCUCUUGCACCUGGUGCGAAGCAACAAAGGAAGGAAUAAAAGAAGUUUGCUUUUCAGGCUAAAAUCGAUGAGCUGGAAGCUUAGAACAACAAGAUAGCGAUGAAGAAUGAGAUCAUUCAAGAGCAGUAUGAGAAGGUCUUCGAGAUGCUCCACGAGGCUAGAUAUACUAAAACACACGAGCUCAUCACUCCUGUGGAAGUCAACCAUCAACUGGGUGCCCCCCAACACGGAGGGUCAUUUGUCUUCGACAUGGGUAUUCCUGUUGAGGAGCGAGCUACUCAUUAAAAUGGCGACCAACAUGAGACUUCUUUCAAACCAGGUGCUUCGACUCGAAGCAGGAGGAGUGGAGGAAGGCACCUCAUUACAGAAAGAGUGGAAGGAUCGAAAGUUGUCUUUCGCGAUUGUCGAGACUUUCUAAAGCAACGUCGAGACAAUCCCAUUCAUGUACGCUCGAAGAUCAAUGACUCAAGGGUCUCUGAAAGACUUGGUCCCCUCCCAUGUCCUAGGACAGCUACCAAUUUGGGGAAGGGGAAACAAGUCUUAGAGGAACACGAAGGUAUAGGGGACUCAGAGAUGUUCCGACAGACAUACCUUGGAAGUCAGUACAGCGAGUCCAAGGAAAAAUCACAUGCUCUUGAUCAAACCUUCCUACUUCUAAGAGGAGAUAGAGAUUUACGAAAGAAAGCUUCGGUGGUACAUGACUCCACUCAAGACCCUCUUAUCCUACAGCUCCUUAAGGAAGUAAACAAGUUGAAGGCCGAACGACAAGCUGAGAUACCUGAUUGGAACCAACCUAGGCCUGGCCUUCUUACAAGGAAGAUCCUCGACACCCCCCUCCAAGCAAAGAUAAAGCAGAAGCUUGGCUUGCAACUCUAUGGAAAGGAGGACCUGAUUGAACACAUUAACCUCUUUGAGUCCACCAUGGCAUACUGGAUGCACACCGACAAAAAGCAAUGUCUUCUCUUCCCCUCCACCCUCUCUGAUUGAACACAUUGUUGUCUUCCACCUGAGACGGUGACUCAUUUGAGAAAUUGAGGAAACUGUUUGUUUCUAAACACAUUUUCCAGACCGAUCGCUUGCACUCUGCGGAUGACUUGUACACUAUUCGCCAGAAGCCAAAUGAAUCAUUACAUAUGUACAUUGGCCGCUUCAGCCAUGAGUAUUUCCGUUGUGCCGAGGCAGAUGAUAAGGCUGCCCUCAAAGCCUUCACGGCGGGCUUACGUGAUUGUUUCUUCAAGUACAUGAUCAAUGCCAACACUUGGAAGACUUACUCUAAGGUGAUGGCACAGACUUACAACCAUGCCUCCGCCGAGGCAAGGACAUAUCAAGGGAAACCCCCCACAACCACCCCUUAUCAACAAGUAGGGAGUGGAAACCAUAUCCAACCAAAUGAGAAGACCUCGACCUUCCAAACGGCAGCGAUGCAUUCCCUUGCCUUACUUAAUACUUUACCAAGUCAACAGACAUAUCAACUUCAGGGUAAAAGGAAAAAUUUCCAUCCUCAACAGUCUCAUUUUAAUAAAAGGAGUAAGGGACACUAUCGCGAUAACCAAGGGUAUCGCCAUGAUAAUGCCCACCCCCAGGCAGUUAACAUAAUGGGUCAAGCAUGUGUCAGGACAUGCCCUACCCCGAUGUAUGAGACAUACACACCUUUGAACGCCACAUACGUGGCCAUUUACCCCAGCAUAGCAUACAUGAUACCGAGCCAAUGCUGAGGCAGUCGGGUUACAAGCCCAUGAAGAACAUGGGCACGUUUUGUUGCUACCAUGAGCAUAACGGCUAUGACGACGAGAAGUGUAUCACCCUUCGUGAUCAUAUUGAAGCUUUGAUGCGUGAAGGAAAAAUUUAUUGAUUCCUUCUUCACCCUUCAAGGCAUAACCGUAACCAACGCCAAGUGAAUGUGAUAUAUUCCAUAAACGGCGGCACACCCAUAUCUGAAUCUUCCAAUAGGGCCAUGAAAAACAGUGAACGAGCUUUAAGGCCUGGCCACCAAGUGUUUCACGUGGAAGACAUCAGGGGAAGCAAGUAUGAAAAGCCUAACUGGGAUAUAAUAUGUUUCUACUCUGAGGAAGAAAGAGGUAUCAUCUACCCUCACAACGACCCACUGAUCGUGGAGGCUCACAUAGCCAACUUUGAAGUACAACGAAUCCUGGUAGACACGGGGGCUUUGGUUAAUAUCAUGUUUGCUGAAGCUUUCAGGGCACUUAAUGUAGCUGAACACUUGCUCGAUCACUCGAUUUCUCCUCUAAUAAGCUUCUCCCGUGAUAUCGUGCAACUUUUAGGGAGCAUGCACUUACCUUUCAUCAUUGGUAUAGGCCCUUACACAGCUACCAUUACCACUAACUUCCUGGUGGUUGAUUGCCCAACGGCAUACAAUGUCAUCUUUGAACGCACAGGCAUCAAUAAUCUCAAGGCCAUGGUAUCCACACAUAUGUUAUUGAUGAAAUUUCCAACCCCCUAUGGCAAUGGUUACAUCAGAGGAGAUCAACUUAGUGCACGGUCAUGUUACAACUCUUCGGUCAAGCAACAACACCUGCCUGUGCCCAAGGAAACCUUUUCUAUACAUGACCAAGUCAUAAAGACCAGCCCGGACGAAGCCAACUUGGAUCUUUACGGUGGCAACAAUCAACUUGACGAUCCUCGAGAUGACUCUUUCACCUAGCAAGCACAACUCGCUGAAGAGCUGGAUAAGGUUUCUAUAUCAAAAGAUUAUCCAGAUCGCAUGGUGAAGAUUGGCACCACCUUAUCACCACCUAUUCGAUUGGCAUUGAUCUUUUUUUUACAAGAGAACACUGAGGUCUACGCCUGGUCAUACGAAGACAUGCCAGGCAUUUCUUUCGAUAUGUCAUCGCUUGAGUAUUGACCCCAAGAGCAAGUCAUUGAGACAGAAGCGAAGAUCUUAUGACGUUGAACGAUAUGAAGCAAUGAAGGUAGAAGUUGAAAAACUCAAAGGCAUAGGCUUCGUCCGCGAAGUCAAUUACCCAACAUAGGUAGGAAAUGUGGUCUUUGUUAAGAAAAAUCCAACCAAAGAAAGUCUCUUGCUCCAAAAGGUCUUGUGGAGAAUAUGUGUAGACUACACCGACCUAAACAAAGAAUGCCCGAAUGUAGCUUUCCUCUUCCUAUCAUUGACAGACUUAUAGACUCUACGACAGGGUGUGAACUCUUGAGCUUCAUGGAUGCUUACUCAGGAUACAAUCAAAUCCUCAUGAACCCUCCAGACCAAGAACACACAACCUUCACUACUGACAGGGGACUAUAUUACUAUAAAGUUAUGCCAUUCGGCCUAAAGAAUGCAGGAGCGACUUAUUAGAGACUGGUCAAUUCAAUGUUCGCCGAACAGAUUGGAAAGAGCAUGGAAGUUUACGUUGAUGAUAUGCUAGUCAAGAGCAAACAUGCUGACUAACACAUCACCAACCUAUCUGAAACUUUCACCAUUCUGAAGAGGUAUCGAAUGAGGUUGAACCCUAAUAAAUGUGCCUUCGGCGUAGGCUCUUGCUAAUUCUUAGGCUUUAUGAUAAACCAACGAGGCAUUGAGGCUAAUCCUAAGAAAAUCAAAGUAAUCAUCGACAUGAAAUAACCAGUAACUUUAAAAGACAUCCAGAGCCUUACUGGCAAGGUGGCAGCCUUAACUAGGUUCAUCUUUAAGGCCAUAGACAGAUAUGCUUAUUUCUUCAAAGCACUUAAGGGAAGUAAGAAGUACAUUACAUGGACUGAUGAAUGUGCCGAGGCAUUUAAGAACCUUAAAGACUACAUGAGUAAACCCCAUCUGCUCUCCAAACCUGAGGUUGGUGACACUCUUAUUAUCUAUUUGUCGGUAUCGGCUUCAGCAGUAAGUUCCGUUCUCAUUCGAAAUAAUGGUAAUGUUGAACGGCCUGUCUACUAUGCUAGCAAGGCCUUACAAGAUGUGGAGACACGAUACUCCAACAUUGAGAAAUUGGCUCUAGUAUUGGUCAUGUCUGCUCGAAAACUUCGCCCUUACUUCCAAGCAUACUCCAUCAUCGUGCUUACCAAUCAUCUUGUUCGACAGAUACUUCAAAGUCCUGACACUUCUGGGCGAAUGAUCAAAUAAGCGAUAGCAUUGGGUGAGUUUGACAUCUCCUACUAACCAAAGCCAGUUGAGAAGGGCCAAGCAGUGGCAAACUUUAUCGCCGACUUCAUAUAUCCUGUUGACAUUGUUUCUACGCCUAAAGAAGUGGUUUCAUUACCCUCGGAAGCUUAAACAAUAGAACCAAUAGCCCCAGCAUAGAGUCUAUAUGUUGAUGGCUCGUCCAACCAACAAGGUUGUGGAGCAGGACUAGUCCUUACGACCCCUGACAAAGUGGCGAUGGAGUAUGCUCUUCAUUUUAAAUUCAAGGCGUCGAACAAUGACGCUGAAUAUGAAGCCCUCCUAACAGGUUUACGUUUGGCCAAACACCUUGGGGUUAAACGAAUUGAUAUCUUUAGUGACUCCCAAUUGGUGGUUAACCAGGUCAUCAACAACUUUGACGCUAAGGAUAGCUCCAUGGCAGCAUAUCUAGCACAAACACAAUUGUUGCUUAAACACUUCCACUACCAGAUCACCCAAAUUCCUCGAGCGGCAAGCAGUCAUGCAGAUGUUUUAGCUCGCCUCGCCUCAGCGGUGGAAGACAAGAUUGGGAAAAAAAUUUAGGUCGAAUUGUUGGCAUCACCAAGCACCAUGGUCGCGGAAAUGUGCAACUUACAACAGGAGGAUAGUUGGAUUACCCUGAUUUAUAGAUCCCUUGCUCAUGGCACCCUUCCAAAUGACAAAGUCCAAGCUAAGAAGAUUCGAUACAAGGCUACCCGUUACUUGAUCAUUAAUGAGCAACUUUACAAGCGGGGUUUUAACCUACCAUACCUAAGAUGCCUUAAGCCCGCAGAGGCAGAAACUGUCAUUAGGGAAAUACAUGAAGGAGUCUACGGAGAUCAUGCUGGAUCUCGAUCCCUAGCACACAAGGCUUUUCGCCAAGGAUAUUACUGGCCAACACUUCACCAAGAUGCCAUCAGAAUAUCUCGCUCAUAUGAUAAGUGUCAACGCUAUGCAACUAUUCCUCACUCCCCUCCUGAGCCGCUCACUCCUAGGUUUAGCCCUUGGCCCUUUGCCCAAUGGGGACUUGAUUUGAUUGGCCAAUGCCUGCAGGGAAGGGCAAGGUUCGAUAUGCAAUUGUUGCAGUUGACUACUUCACAAAGUGGGCCGAAGUAGAACCCUUGACAACCAUUACUGAGGCAAAAAUAGAAGACUUCGUAUGGAAGAACAUCCUUUGCAGAUUCGGCAUUCCCAAUGCGAUAGUCACUAACAACGGGCGACAGUUCGACAGCAAUAAGUUCAUGACGUUCUGCUUUAAGCUCAAAGUGGGGGACUGGUUAUUGAAGAAAAGAUUACUCUGCGACAGAGUCCCGAGUGAAAGAACACUUAGUCCAAACUGGGAUGGACCGUUUGAAGUUGUUGGCAUCAGUCGCCCUGGCUCCUACAAGCUUAGAAGCUUCGAUGGCAAGACCCUUGGCCAUCCAUGGAACGCUGAUCACUUGAAGUACUAUUACAAGUAAACUCACAUUAUACAAGUGUUAAGCUUCAGCCGUUCGGCAUCCUAUGUAACGAAGACUAUUUGACAUGAAUUUAAUAAAGAGGUGAUUUAGACAACUCGGUCCUAAUCCUCUUACAAUCCUAGCAAUGAAACACUCGAGUUCAAAGCUUCAACAUGAAUGCUUCCAACAUGAAACAAAGUCUAAGUAUAUGUCAACAAGACUAUAUAAAUAAACGAACAACUUCAUAGUAUAUUCGUUCAAUCAUACAUUCCAACACAUUCAUACAUAAGCCAAUUGUGCUUCGAAAGGGUUCAACAUACUUUAUGUCAUUCGACACUUGCUACAAUGUGCCUCGACCCCUUGCCCUUAUUCUCACCAACCAGGUGAUGAAAUGUGAAGAAGGAACUCAUCUUCAUGCCACCAACCAGGUGAUGAAAUGUACAACCCGUACUCUAAUAUCAUUUGGCAACUUGUCAUUUAUGCCACCAACCAGGUGAUGAAAUGUACAACCCGUACUCUCCUUCGUGCCACCAACCAAGUGAUGAAAUGUACAACCCGUACUCUAAUAUCAUUUGGCAACUUGCCACUCAUGCCACCAACCAGGCGAAGAAAGAACUCAUCUUCAUGCCACCAACUAGGUGAUGAAAUGUACAACCCGUACUCUCCUUCAUGCUACCAACCAUGUGAUGAAAUAUACAACCCGUACUCUAAUAUCAUUUGGCAACUUGCCAUUCAUGCCACCAACCAGGUGAAAAAGGAACUCAUCUUCGUGCCACCAACCAGGUGAUGAAAUGUGAUGAAAGGUGAUGAAGGAACUCACCUUUGUACCACCAACCAAGUGAUGAAAGCAACUCACCAUCCAUUCCACCUACCAGAAGACAAGUGGUACAACUUGUACAUAUGAACUUCUAACAUUCAUAAAUAAUCAAAAACCCUCAAGCUUGACUACUCAACUAGGGGAGCACUUAUGCCUAACAAGAGUUAUAAUCACCAACAAAGUCUUAUUGCAAGCCAACAACAACUUCAGUGCAUGGCAUACUAAAAUCAAGUUAUUCAGCCCUCUUGUAUCUGCUUCAGACAUUUCUCUUUUGUAACAAUGCAAACACUACAACUCGUAGAAAGCUUCGCACAUUCUUGAUCAAGACAGUGUGAAGCAAAACCAAUUUACGGUGCCAACAAGAGCUUCAUCAAAUGAGUUCAACCACAAUUCUCAAAAGCUUCACACACUCUUGAACAAGACAGUGUGCACCAAAACCAAUUUAUGGUGCCAACAAGAGCUUCAUCAAAUGAGUUCAACCACAAUUCUCAAAAGCUUCACACACUCUUGAUCAAGACUGUGUGAAGCAAAACCAAUUUAUGGUGCCAACAAGAGCUUUAUCAAAGGAGUAUAAACACAAUUCUCAAACGCUUGAUCAAGAUAGUGUGAAGGAAAACCAAUUUAUGGUGCCAACAAGAGCUUCAUUAAUGGAGGGCAACCACAAUUCUUAAAAGCUUCACACAUUCUUGAUCAAGACAGUGUAAAGCAAAAGCAAUUUAUGGUGCCAACAAGAGCUUCAUCAAAGGAGUUCAACCACAAUUUUCAAAAGCUUCACACACUCUUGAUCAAGAUAGUGUGAAGCAAAACCAAUUUAUGGUGCCAACAAGAGCUUCAUCAAUGGAGGGCAACCACAAUUCUCAAAAGCUUCACACACUCUUGAUCAAGGCAGUAUGAAGCAAAACCAAUUUAUGAUGCCAACAAGAGCUUCAUCAAAGGAGUUCAACCACAAUUCUCAAAAGCUUCACACUCUUGAUCAAGACAGUGUGAAGCAAAACCAAUUUAUGGUGCCAACAAAAGCUUCAUCAAUGAAGGGCAACUACAACUCGUAGAAAGCUUCACACACUCUUGAUCAAUACUGUUCAAAGCAAAUUCAAUUUAUAUGGUUCAUCCAAACUUUCGACUGCUAUAACGUGUGGCUUGCAUCACAAUCUUUUGCUCAACAAUGUGGAAGCAAAAUUUGUAUAUGUUGUCUCUCCCACAUUUCCAAAUUUCUAGAUUCCCAAAAAAAAAAAGAAAAAAAAAAGGGAAAUUCAACAAAGCUUCAUCAAUGGAAGACAACUACAAAUUCUCAAAAGCUUCACACUAUCUACACUAUCUUGAUCAAGAUAGUGUGAAGCAAAAUGAAUUUAUGGUACCCAACAAAGCUUCACCAUAAAAGCUUCACCAACAAAAGCUUCAUCAGUGGAGGACAACUACAAAUUCUCAAAAGUUUCACACUAUCUUGAUUAAGAUAGUGUGAAGCAAAAUCAAUUCAUGGUACCCAACAAAAGCUUCAACUCCAAAGCUUCACCUACAAAUAUUCAACUCCAAAGUUUUACCUACAAAAGCUUCAACACAAAAGUUUCACCUACAAAGCUUCAACUCCAAAGCUUCACCUACAAAGCUUCAACACAAAAACUUCACCCACAAAAGUUUCACCCACAAUAGCUUCACCCACCACAAAAGCUUCACCCAUAAAAACUUCGCCCACCACAAAAGCUUCACCAACAAAAGCUUCACCUACAAAAGCUUCACCCAAAAAACUUCACCAACAAAAGCUUCACCCACCACAAAAGCUUCACCUACCACAAAAGCUUCACCUACAAAAGCUUCACCUACAAAGCUUCAACAUAAAAGCUUCACCUACAAAAACUUCACACUAUCUUAAUCAAGAUAGUGUGAAGCAAAGUCAAUUCAUGGUACCUAACAAAGCUUCAACCUCAAAGCUUCACCUACAAAACUUCAACACCAAAGCUUAAAUAUAUAUAUAUAUAUAUAUAUAUAUUCGGAAAUUCGAAAAUUCGAAAACUCAAAAAAAAAAAAAUUGAAAAAAAAAUUCGAAAAACAAAAUUGCCUAGGCCUCAUCUUCAUUGGGCCUAACAACUUUCAUAACAAAUAUAUAUGAAGGAGGAGUUUUGGCCUACCACUUAGAAAGGAAAUGCCUCAUUCGUCAAUUCCCUCGACCAGAGACUUAGGGGACUCCUACCAUAUGCUACUGCACUUUGAUACUCGAAAGUCUCAUGACCACUCAGUGACUUGGAUUUUUCAAGUCUCCAACUGAGAAGUUUUCCUCACUCGGGAAAUUAAGGGAGCACUACCUCAACAUACAUGCUUCACUCACAAAGCUUCAACAUACAAGCUUCAACAAAAGAAAAAACUCAAAAAACUUAGUGAAGAAGGCCUUAGUGUAUUUAACACAAUACGUUGAAAUGAAGCAAAGCUUGUUUAUUGAUAUCUCCACUAAGUUACAAAUAUGUACAUAUACAUGAAUCAACAUAAACAAACAAGAGAGAGUCUUCACAAAGGUUGCUCAGAAAAAGUCUCAGCAGUCUGCAGAUCCCCAAAAAGAGGAGGCACUGAAAGGUGAUUAUUCGGAGCCUCAGUACUAGGCAGAACCCCAAAAGGAGGAGGCACCGAAGGUUGAUCAUUUAGAACUUCACUACGCGGUACAGCCCCAGAAGAUGAAGGCAAUAAAUGCCUUUGGAACAAACCCACAAACCUCUGAUGAUCAAGUAAAAUCUGACCAUCAGAUUCCUGCAGCUGGUCGAGCUUCCUCUUCAUGUUUGUAGCAUAGUCAUAUGUGAGCCUGUGGAAUUGUUUAUUCUCAUGCUUGAGCCAUCUAAUCUCCUGUUUGAGACUUAUCACUUCAGCUGCCAAUGAUUCAACUUGGCGGGUUUGAGCAAAUAGGCAUUGGGCCAUAUUAGACACAGAACCUGCACACUGAACACUGAGAGCCAAAGAAUCCUUAACAACCAACUCAUCAGACCGUUUGGAAAGUAGUCUGUUAUCUUUGAGAGUGAGAAGGUUCCUGGCCACCACCGCAGCUGUUAUAUCAUUCUUCAUCACAGAGUCCCCAACGGUAAGAUGACCAGUAGGGGAUAAGAAGGAUGGGCGCCGUAUGUUGUCUUGAGAGGGCAUGGUUGCCUCUUCACCAAAGUUCAAGUCAAAACGACGGUCGGAUGGGCCAGACAUUCUCAGAAAUGAUGAAGGAGAAAUGAGGUGCAAUAAAUCUCUGAAGUACAAAAAUAAGGGGAAAAUUCCUACAAGCAAUAACUUUCUGAACGUACUUCUUGCACACAAUUGGUGCCCCUAUAAAAGAAAAGGCAACAAGGAUGUUGGUUCAAAAAUCGAAGAAGCACCACUCUCUGGAUUUCGAGAAGCAGAUUUUCUUGAGUAAAAUAUGUCGACAAUCCCCACACGCAACAUCAGCUCCUCGGGUACCACAUAUAACUUUGCUAAAGAUCUCUGACAAAGUUUAGACAUAUAAAUUUUGAAGGUCCAGUUACCCUACUAUUACCCACAAGGGUAAAGGAACAACACCACUGCUUAAUAACUGGAAAGUCCCUAUGUGUGUCAACCUCCAUGCUUCGUGGCAAAGCAGACUGGCAAAAAUGCUCAACCUUUACUCACAUUCGAGAAAACACUCCCAACAAGAUUGCUUGCUUAAAAAUCGAAGAGGCACAGCUCUCCGAAUCUCAAGAGCCAGACUCUCAACAUGAUUACUUGCUCAAAAAUCGAAGAGGCACCGCCCUCCGAAUCUUGAGAGCCAAACUCCCAACAGGAUUACUUGCUCAAAAAUCGAAGAAGCACAUCUCUCCGAAUCUCGAGAGCUAGACUCCCAACAGGAUUACUUGCUCAAAAAUCGAAGAGGCAUCGCUCUCUGAAUCUCAAGAGCCAGACUCCCAACAGGAUUGCUUGCUCAAAAAUCAAAGAGGCACCGCCUUCCGAAUCUCGAGAGCCAGACUCCCAACAAGAUUACUUGCUCAAAAAUCGAAGAGGCACAUCUCUCCGAAUCUCAAGAGACAGACUCCUAAUAGGAUUACUUGCUCAAAAAUCGAAGAGGCACCGCUCUCCAAAUCUCAAGAGCCAGACUCCCAACAGGAUUGCUUUCUCAAAAAUUAAAGAGGAACCGUUAUUCGAAUCUUGAGAGCCAGAUCCCCGAUAGGAUUGCUUUUUCGAAAACCGAAAAGGUACCGCUCUUCGAACUUCGAGAGCUAAAUUUCCUUAGAUAAAGCUUGUCUGCAAUCUUCACAUGCAACAUCAGCUUUCCAGAUACCACAGACCACUUUUUCAAAAUGCUCUGACAAAGUUAAAACACGUGAAUCUUACAGCUCCCACUACAUUGCUAUGACUGUGAAGGGUAAAGGAACAGCGUUACCACUCGCUGUUGGGACAAUUCCUAUAUAUGUCGACCUUCAUCAUCCACAGCUAGGUAGACCUGCAAAUAAAAAAAAAUGCUCAACUUUUCUUCACAUCCGAGAAGGCACUCUCAGCAGAGUCUCUUGAAAUACUCAGCUUCUUUUCCCCCCGAUAAUACCUUUGCAAACAAGCCACAUCAGAGCAAGAGUAUCUUAUAUCAUCAGGGUUAAAAGCAAGAGUAUCCCAUAUCAUGCUUUUUCCCUGUCUUUUCCUUUGGCCUUGUUCUUACCUGUAAGACAAGGAGAAAGAGAGCAAUCAGUCAGCACUUGGAAUCAAGCUUCCAGUCAGGAACUGACUGCUUGGAACCCCUUGCCUAAUUACUUACCUGGCAUUGCUCUUGAGUACUCAUCUUCAACAUCUUACGCUUCUAGAGAGGAUACCACAUCUGCCUGAGGAACAAAUAGGGCAAGUGAGAAGGAUAUAAGGAAGCAUGUGGAGACAAGCGUAACAGAACACGUGUUGAUACAUCCACUACUUUGCCAACAGCAAAAGUAUCCCAUAUCAUCAAGGUCGAACGUACUUUAGAUUUGAUGGACUGUUUUGACCCUUAAAUUCUUGAGUCGGCUUUAUACUAUGGAGGAAACCAGAAAACCAUUCAGCCUAGUUCAAGAAUAAGCCUGUGGAAAGUUACUUCUUCACAAUCAAAAGUAUCUUAUAUCAUCUCUUCUCCAUUUGCUUCUCCUCAUCCUUGUUGCUGUUUACGACACAAGGAGAAGGAGAACAAUCAACCGGAAGCUGAAGUUGAACCUCCGAUCCAGGUUGCUUGCUUGGAAGUCUGAUUGCUUACCUUGUUUAUUACCUCAUUCGGCAAAUCUCCUAGCUCGGCGACUUGGGGGACUCCUACUAUAGGGUUUGUAUCACACUUGAACAAGCCCGAAACUACAAGUAAGCUUCAAGUGAAAAUGAUGCCACACUUCGGUACUUAGAAGUUUUGUGAUUACUCAAUGGCUUGGAUCUUGCAAGUCCUCAACCGAGGAGUUUCCCUUACUCGGGAACUUAGGGGAACACUAUUUGUACCAUAUUUGACCAAUCCUGAAACUACUAAGCACCGGUCAACGUUAUACCAUCAAGGACCCAGAAAAGUUUCCCUCUAACCAGGAGGCCAAUCACAGCGCGACACGUGUCGACAUCAGAAGCCAAUCAUAACGCGACACGUUUCAACAUCAGAAGCCAAUCACAACACGACAGGUGUCAAUGUUAGAAUGAAACUAGAAACUUUCUUCUAUAAAUAGAGAUCAUUCUCUCACAAUAUUUCCUGAUGUCAUUUGUACUAAAUCAUUCACUAGUACUCACUAAAGGAGAGCUUGAACCUAUAUACUUAUGUAAACCCUUCACAAUUAAUGAGAACUCCUCUCAUCCGUGGACGUAGCUAAUCUGGGUGAACCAUGUACAUCUUGUGUUUGCUUCCCUGUCCCUAUCCAUUUACAUACUUAUCCACACUAGUGACCGGAGCAAUCUAGCGAAGGUCACAAACUUAACACUUUCUGUUGUACCAAAGUCCUCACUGAUUUUUUGCAUCAAUAGGAUGAAUAACUUAGUUUCUUUAUGAAAUUUUUUUGGUUUCCGUAGAGAAAAAAAAACAAGAGAAUGUAUGUGCGGGCCAAAAUGGGAAACAAUGACGGGCCUAGGCGAAUCAACUAUAAUGAUUUCAAGGGAUCUGAGAGGGAGUCACAUGCCCUGCUUGCGCAUAAUAUUGAGACAGAAUUGCGGAAUAAAUGUCCUCAAAGUGGGCGUCUUGGAAAAAAGUGCCAGAGGACCUAAAGAAGUUUAUGUUGGAUGAUUUAUCAAUAAGUGUCAUUUAUUAAUUUAAUAAUUAUUUUUAUAUAAUAAUUACAUUGUUGAGUAUUUAAUUAUGUUUUCCAUAACAGGCUAAUUAUAUUAUUGAUGAAAGGGACCCUAACUUGAUGAAUUUCAUCGAUAACAUAUUCAAUCAAGAGGCGUUGUUGGGAAAGAAAGUAUGAUGUCGAGCGAAGUACACAUGCACCACCAGCGAAGUUGUUUUUUUUGUUUAGCUAUUAUGGACAAAUAAAAUAUUUUCUUAGAAUGUAACCGGAUUGUAGCAAAUGUUUUUAUUUAACAUUUAUGGACGCUUCAAAUAUUUUCUUAGUUUGUUGUCAGAUUAAAUAUUUACUUUAAGUACUUAUUGGUUCAAUUUUAUUUACCUUGUAUAGAUGGGUUAAAUAAUUUGUUUUCUUUAAAUAUGUGGUUUAAAAAAAUUAGUCACGAUUACUAAUUAAUAGAAAGAAAAAAAUGCAUGGUGAAGGGGAUUCUUCACAUAAAGAUGCUUUGUGCAACGAAAAUGGAUUAAGAGUUGCACAAAUGCACUAUGCACAACGAAGCCUUCGUCGCGCAAAGAUGUUGUCUUUAUUACCAGAAAGCCAAUUGCGAGAGAGCCAAAAACUGGAAAAAUUGCGGCAGCUGCCUUUCCCUCUCCCUCCCUCAUCUCUCUUCAAAAUUGUCCUUAACUCCCUCGAUCUCUCAAUUUUGUCCUCCACUCCCUCAAUCUCCCUCUCCUCUACCUCCACCUCCACCUCAUUACCCUUCCUCGAUCUAUUCUGCUCUACAUCCGGUAAGGGAUUGAUUUUGUAUUUUUUAAUUGUGAAUUCAGACUAGCAAAAUUGUAUUUGUUUUGUAUAGGCGUUGUUCUAUACGAUUAACGGUGAAUAAUGAAUUUGGAGGUAUUGUUGAUGCAAAUUUCCGCUGUUUCUUGCUUUGACGAAAAUCCACCUGCAAAACAAUCAACACAUUUGAUCAAUGACCUAAGUCUCAUGUGCCCAUGAGGUGGGGAGGGGGUUGGCCAAUAAAUCUUUGAUGCCUAAGGUAGUUUCUCUGUAAAGAGUAAGUAUUUAGGGCCUUUUAGUGUGGUAAAAACUUACUGAAAUUUGAUAGAAUUGAAUAUAUACAUAGGAAAGAAGGUCGGCCAUAGUGUUAGGUUUUACCCUACAUAUGGCAUCAUCCUAUUGGCUAAGGUGUAUGGAAAGAAUAUUCUUAAGAUAUUAAAUAGGAAAUAAUAUCUUGAGAUGUGGAGUAGAUAUCCCUAUUGAUUGACAUAGAGAUUACUUACUUGAAUGGAGUCAACCUUCAAUUGGGAAUGUGAUAAAAACAGGAUUUGGGUGAUUAAUCCUUAUCUUUAAUACUUUGACUUUUCCUUGCCAAGGACAGGUGAACUGUGGACCUUCAGAGAUGUAAGGUUCUAAAAAAUGUUAGGCGCUAGUCGGGUUGGCGCCUAGCGCCUAGGCGGGGUCUAGGCGGGCACCUAGGCGGAUUUAGGUAAAUUUCUUAUAUAUCUUGUAAAUAAGUGUAUUGACACUUACAAAAAAUUAUACUUGUAUGAAAUCCCUAAAUAAGAUAGUAAAAGAAUAAUAAAAUGCUAUCUAACAAGUCCAAAAAAUCAAUAACACUUGAUGCUAUGAACUGACAGGCUGACAAUCUAUGUUUUUUUAAUGAAAAAAAAAUUAAUAGCACUUGAUGCUAUGGAUGGACUGACAGCCUUUUUUCUUUUAGAAAAGUCAGGAUGCUAGCUGUCCAAACCUGAAUGGACAGAAAAAAUAAAUAAAUUAAAUAGUUUGAAAGUGAUCACGUGGAUGUGGAAGGAAGAGAGAGAAACAAAUUUUCUCUCAUCUUCUUCCUCUUCACAAGAACACAUACCAUAUGCUCAUGAAGUCCAGAAAAACCAGAACACAUCUAAUCUGCAUUCAUCAUUUCUCAAGUUCGAACACAGAAAAAAUUGAAAUUCCCAGACCGCCUAGGCCACCCAAAGGCCGAUCAGGCCACCUCGGCGCCCACCUAAUCCCUGUCCCAAUUUUGCAUUAAUCCCGGCGGUUGGCUAUCGCCCAGCACCUAGGCACCACCUAGGCCAAUUUUUAGAACACUGCAGAGAUGUUGAACUGUGUGUGAGAGAAUCUGAGGUCUAGCCUGCCCAUUUAAUGAGGAAAAUCUUGUCUUUCUUGAGCAAAAGUCCACGUGUCACCUCUAGAAUUUUUGGGAUUGUUUUGGGCUUCACAUGUACCUUUUUCACUAAUUUAAUUUUUAUUAAUUUGAGUUCUUUAAAUUAUUUUUUGAUAUUUAUGUGAUUUAAUUUAUUUGUAUGAAAGCCAGUGGUCUCCUACCACAGUGAUGGAAAAGAGUGUUACCCUUGCACCAAGGUGUGGGUUCGAAUCCCGUUGGCUCCCUAAUUUAACAACUAAUUUAACAAAUCUAUUGUUUGAUGAAAAAAAAAAUUAUUUUGUAUGAAACAUUUUUGUACGUGAUGGACAAAAAUAUUUUCUCUUGUAUAGAGUUAAUAGUACUAAACUUUGUACGCUUUUGUUCAUAAAAGCUUAGUUUCCCGUUAAAAAAUAGUUGGAUUUCGCACAUGGAUGUGAGAGCAUGACUGCUGUCCAAUUAAUUCUUGAAUUGUCCCAUUUUUUGGACAAUUUGGGAGUGCACGGUUAUGUGCCGUAGUUUGCGGUCAAUCAAGGGAAAUUUGGUAACAUCUCUUUGCAUUCUUUGAGUGCAUGAUAAGUAUUUUUUAUCAACGUCGUGAAGAACUGCAGGGAGAUGCUGCUGAAUUUUUUCCACAUCGAAAUCUAAUCUGAUGGAGCCGUAGAUUACGGCACAUAACUUUGCAUUUCCGAAUGGGAUAUGGCCCUUAUUGGAAGCAUAAGGUGACAAGUCAUAAUUGAAGUUGUUAUAAUCCUUGAAGUUUUAUUUUGUUUCCAGGCAAUAUGGAGGACAAUGGGUACAGAACCCUAAUAAAUGUGUUGAUGAAUACUUGGAUAGCAUAUAUCGGUUUAAUGAAUUUGUACUUACAUACAACCGGGUUCACAUGGUCAUUUACGUGACAAUUUAACGAGGACAGUAACAGAUUUGUUAUGGAAUGACUAAAAUAAUUUACGAUGGACAAACUCAAGGACCACAUCAGUCGAUUUUCGUUGUCAGGGACCAAAAUGAGGAGUUAUGUCAAUCUCAAAGAUCAUUUUAGAUAAAAACCCUAUUCUCUACUUCAUCAUAGCUCAAGUCCAUUGUGAAUACUCACUUGUCUUUCCAAGACGAUUGUUGCGAAUGGCUUAAGAGGAGACUCGAUUGGAAAAUAUUCCUUAAAAGCCAAUCAUAAAAUGAUAUUUUACCUACAUUUCAUAUAUUUCCAAUCUCAUAUCAAAGAGGGCACUUUCAUCUUUUUCUUUUGACGUUUACACAUGCAUGUAGGAGCUGAUGGGCUUGCACUUUGGGGCCGUAAUAUUUUUCAUAACUUUUUCUUCUAACGUUUACGCAUACACAUAGGAGAAAGUUAUGAAAUAUACCAUGUGACAACCAAGGUUCUCAAAUUGCUCGUUAUGCACAAACAUAUAUAUAUAUAUAUAUAUAUAUAUAUAUAUAUAUAUGUUAAGGUAAAUAUAAAUGUUUGGGGUUCGUGCAUCAUGGGGAAUGUUUCAUGCAUCAUGGUCGUUGAAAAUACCAAACAUGGAUUUUAGGAGAACUUGAUUGGCAGGAAACAAUUGAACCUUUGAAUUUGUAGAAGGACCUCCAUGUACCUUCAGUUCCUUACCAUCAGUUUUCUUAGAGUCACGCUAGAGUUUUGCUGAUAACAUGUUGUAGUCCUACUUAACUGAACAACUAUAAGAGAGAGAGGGGGUGUGCCGGGAACAAGAAGAGAUAGUUGAUGAACAAGAAGAGAUAUUUGAUGUAAUUCUGAGGUUUUUGAUCUCCCCUAAUAGGAUUUUUACCACCCAUAAAAGAGAGAUAAAAAUACUUGCAAGAGUACAAGGGAGUUGUAACAGGAAUGGUCAUGUAAGGUUGUUCUCCAUAGGGAUUAUUUUGAAAUAAUUUAUGUUAAAACCAAAUCUUAAUUAAUUAUUUAAAACAAAGUUUAGAAAAGAUUCAUUUUGUAAUUAAAAAUAACAAAAACAAAUUUAAUAAAAAACAAUUUAAAAAUUUCAGCAAACUAAAAUAAACUUAAAAGAAAACGGUUUUGGAAAUCAAUUUAAAAAAGCAUUAGGGUUCCGUCUCAUCUUAACAGUCCUAUGGAGUUUUAACAAUUACUUAUGAAUGACGCAUGUGAAUUUGAAGGUCAGGUGUUCCUUAUGCAUAUUCUCCUCGUGAUAUUCAAGCAAUAAUGUUUAUCUAACAUGCAAUCCGCUUGUGAUAUUAGAUAAAAUAGAACAUGCAAGACUCAUUAAGCUUUAUGAAAACUUUUUGAAAAACCACGCAACCCUUAAGAACGUGAUAUUUGCCUUAAGUGAAAUUACAAUUGUCAAUCACAAGAAACCAUACUCAAUCCUCCGAUGAUAUUCCAACCGAAUUGCAUUUGAUUACUUAUCUAAACAUCAUAAUGGUCGUGAAGCACUAAGACAUAAAGAUAAUUUAAACAUAGUUAUUAAUAAUUCAAAGCAUGCAUGCAUAAUAUAAUAAGCAAUUUAAAUAAAGAUUACAUAUACAUGCUAUGGCUCAUGGCCUCGCCCAAGCAAAAGAAAGUUAGUUACACCUAAUCAUAGUAAAAAAAAAGGAAAUAUUAUUAAGAAAAAGGAAAGAAAACACCUUGUAAAAAUAAAGUUGAAUCAUCAAAAGCUCUCUAACCUAGUUCUCCAAAUUGAUGCAUAGUAAACCCUAAUGGUUGAUUAGCCUUAUUUAUACUACUACAAAAUAAAAUUCUUCUUAGGAAAGGUCUCUUGAAAAUAGGAAACAAAAUAAGUUAAAAGAAACUAGAAAACAUAAUCCUAUAAUAUAAAGGAGAAUCUGUUAGUUAACUGAUCUGCCACGUUCAGGGCCUUAGGCACCUCCAAAACAGGCCCAAGAUGACUCUUUUUAAAACUUAAAAUGUUAUGAACAUAUUUCCAGACUGGCCCGAACUUAAAACACACCAUCUUGGACACCAAAAAGCCUAAAUAAGCCCAAAACAUCAUUUUGACAGCUUUGUGCUCUGGUCUUUUAUUUCAUCACCAUAAAUAAACCACUUGGUAGAAAAAUUUGAAAUUUUGACACAAACAAGUUGAAAGGCUCAUGAACAUCCUCUAAUUAGAAUCACUCCAAAAUUCAUCCAUUUGAUCACUUUUUACUUAAGAAUAAAUCACAAGUCCUACAUUAGAAAUAUAAAUCAAAGUAUCAAAAUUCACCAAAAUAAUUACCAAAGGAUACUAAGAAUAGGGUAAAAUAUAUAAUAUAAAAUCGACUCAUCACCCCCAUUGUGUCUUUAUUUAUAGUAGUAGGGAAGGUAAAUUCCUUACUCCAAUAGUAUUACAACUUUAAAUGAUAAUAUCUAAAGAUAACAUAUGGUAGAAUCCUACAAGGAUAUCCAAUAUUCAAUAAGAUUUAUAUGAUCACAUUUCUAAACCAUUAGGACUGCAACAAAAUCAUAUAAAAACCAUAUAUUAUGGUUUAGAAUAUGUUAAACGGGUUUAUGGGGUGAUUUUGGAGUGGGAGUGCUAUUAUCAUAUCCGCCACAUCGAGUUUAAAAAGGGCAGAUUCCCGCACUUAUCCAUACCCAUUGGAUUCUUUGGCUAUGGCCGAUGUAUGAAGGGGAAUUUUGUUUGGACCCAUUUGUUCUCUUUCUACAUCCAACUUAUUAAUUUGUUAUCUUGAAAUUUCAAAUGUAUUCAAUAAUUUUCUUUCUACACCCAACAAGCACAAAAAAAUAAAAAAAAUAAAAAUUUAGCAAUAGGCAACUAUGGUCAUCUUCUCUCUCCAAACCUCAACCACUCUAGUUUCUACCCCUCUCCAAUCCCUCACUGUCACCUCCCCUACCAUCCACAACAAUUUGAAAAUUAAGAGAACCUUUUUUCCUAAUAGUCCACCAUUAAAAAGACCCAAAAGAAAUUUAUGUUAAUAAUACUUUUUGGGAAAUUCAGGAUAAUAUUAAAAUUGUGGGGGGUUGGGGAUUGGCAUAAAUUGGGGGUUGUUAGGGUUUGGAGAGAUGGAGUGGUCGGAGUUUUCUAGUGCUGGAAUUUUUUUUUAAUCUUUUUUUGCUCUUUUUUUAUUUGAGUAUAGAAAGAAACUUGUUGGGCACAUUCGGAAUUUCAAAAUUAAGGGUUUGAAUUAAAUUUUCUUGAAACAUCCCAAUCAAAUGUUCUACUAUAUAUAUAUACAUUUUUUUUAUGAGUAGAUUUUAUAUUAUAUAUUUAACCCUAUUCUUAGUGUAUUUUGGUUAAUAUUUUGGAAGAAUUUUGAUACUUUGAAUUGUAUUUCCACUAUAGGACUUUUAAUUCCUCUGGAGCAGAACAUGGUCAAAUGGACGAAUUUUGGAGUAAUUCUAGUUGGAGGACGUUUGUGAGUCACUUAGCUUGAUCGUGUCAAAAUAUGAUAUUUUCCUACCUAGUGGUGAUUUUCUGGCAAUAAAAUAAGGGAGCGAUGCGCAGUGCUGGAAAAAUGACGUUUUGGGAUUAAAUUACAUUUUUGGAGCCGAGCUUAUCUCUGAUAGAUUCGUGACCUUCUGAAGAUGUGUUUAGAACGUUCUUAUCUUUAAAACAAGAUAUCAUGGGCCAGGUUUGGAGGAGAUUUGAGGCUGAAACGUGGCUGUACAGUUUAUGUGCAGAUUUUCUUAGCUUAAUCAGGACUCUAUUUUCUAAGUUAUUUUAUUAUUAUUUAGUUUUCUAGUUGGAAUAAAAGACCCGAGUUUUAGGGAUUGUGUGGGCAUAGCAGAUAUAUUGCUUUGGCUGUUCUUAGUUAAAGGGGGGGGGGGGGACACUUGCUUUUAUAAACUUGUGAGACAGAGAGCUUGGUGAGGGUUCUUGGAGAUUUUCUACUUUAAGGUGUUUUCAUUCUUUUUCCUAGUUAAUGAUAUUUUCUAUGAUUUUAAUUAUGAAUAUGCGUAACUAAUUCCCGUUUGCUAGGGCGAAGCCUUAAGCCUUAGCAUGAAUAUGCAAUUUUUAUUUAAUUGCUUAUGAUUGAUUGCAUGCAUACUUUAAAUUAUUGACCACCGUUUUAAAUUAUCUAAUUGUCUUGAUGACUGGUCACCAUUAGGAUGUUUAGACAAGUAAUUGGAUGCAAUUCGAUUGGAAUAACACUGGAGGAUUGAGUAUUGCUUCUUGUGAUUGAUAAUUGUAAUUUCAUCUAAGGCGAAUAUCACGCUCUUAGGGGUUGCAUGGUUUUUCAAAAGGUUUUCAUAGAAUUUAAUGAGUCUUACAUGUUUAUAUUUGAUCUGAAUAUCACAAACGGAUUGCAUGGUAAAUAUAUGUUCUUACUUGAAUAUCACGAGGAUAAUAUAUAUUAGGAAAACCUAACCUUCAAAGUGGCAUGUGUAUAUCAUAAGUAAUUGGUAGAAAUUUGUAGGAUUGCUAGGUGAUGGUGGAACCCUAGUGCCUUUAUAAAUUGGUAUUUAAAACUCUUUUCUUCGAUUAUAUUAGUUUUUGUUUAAAAUUCGUUUUUAAUAUUACCCAAUCUCAAAAUCUCUUUUCUCAAGUUUUAAUUCUAAGUAGUUGAUUAGGAAUUGUUUUUACAUAAAUUGUUUGAAUAGUCCUUGAGGAGAACGACCUUGCAUGAGCAUCUAUACUACGACAUCUUUGUAUUCUUGCAAGUAUUUCACGUGAUUUUGCUCUUAUUUACAUAGGUGGCAAAAUCCCUAUCAUAUAUUACAUGAAUAAUAAUCAGUAGAGUUAAGUUUUCCCUGCAGAUUAAUAUUGGCCCAGUCGUAUCUCAUGUGGUGAGACCACUGGUGAUUAUAAUUAAAAAGCAACACCUAUUUACUUUGUGCUUUGUUUAUUGAUUAUAACAUUCAUUCAACAAUGAGUUGCCCAAUCCAGUGGUGACUUAUAACCAAUGGUACUAGAUGAAUCAAACACCCGUAGGUUACGGACCCUCAUCUCUUUUCUUCCUGCAUUAGUGGGUGUGGAAGAGAAACGCUAGAACCAUGCAACAGAUCCAGCAACACCACUUUGGCCUACAUGCUCAUCUUCUCUUCUCUUUCUCAAGAUCUCUCGCUCUCCUUUUUCUUACUUUUUAACUUUCAUCGACUACAUCGGCAAUUGUGGCUGCUCCAUCCUUCUUGCAAACCCCUGCCAUAUGCUAUAAACUAUGAUGACUGCAUUCAUCGUAGAUUUGCAAAUAUUUUGACACAUUCGACGAAUCAACGUUCUUCCAACAAUCAAAGGCAUAAUGAUCCAAGAGAAGAAAACAAGUCGCUCAUCAAGUACGCUUGGAAAGAAGAUGGAGACUAAAGAGACUGAAGAAAGAGAGCCGGUGAGUAGAGCAAUAUGACCGGACAUUCGAGAGUAGAAUAUGGUAGUGCAGUUACGGCGUGAUUUUAUGUUAGCUGCAAAUGCAAAGCAGUAGACUAACGUUGUCGACAAAAAUAUCCACAUGACUCUUGGGUGCGUGUCGAAUGGGGAGACGUUUGCACCUUGACAUUUCACUUGAAGGACGCCGAUUAGCAGUGGAUUCAGAAAUGCAAAGAUGGCAUGCCAUGGCAUUGAGGAAAUAAACCCUUUCAACCUACAGAAUGAAAUAAAAUAAAACGUCAUGCAAACUAACUCAUCUAAAGAAGUGCAAUUAUGUUAAACAAUAUCUUUUACUCUUCAUGAAGAGUGGGCUUUCAUAACUCUCUGCGAAAUCAAGUGAUGAUCACUUAGUAUAAGCUUUUAGCUAUAAGAAAGAAAGUCUAAAGCUUUGGGAGCUGCUACUUCUUAUCCAAAAAAUCAUCAUAUACUCAUCCAUUACGAAAGGGUAAGGCUAGGGAGACUAAAUUUGUAAACUAAAUGAAGUGUCAACAAUAAGAAAUAAGCAUGUUAAUCAACACUUAACUAAUAAUCCAAUUAUUAACUUCCAUGUCAUUUUGAAGAAUGCAAGAAUAACCUUUGGAGUGGCUAUAAUAGCUACCGAAACUGUAAUUAGGUCUCGUUUGGUAUAAAUGAUUGAAUUAGAAUGGAUAACCAUCUAAGUUCCGAUUAUAUAGAAGGUAGAGGAUACUGAUUUUUCAUUUUCACGGGAUUAGAAGAGAAGCAGACAUGAAUGAAACUUCUCCUUUCUAAUUCUUCCGUUUUAGGGAGGACUGAAAUGGUUCUUCAUAAGUAAUAUCUUCUACCUCCAAGUUAGUCACAAUGUUCUCAAUUCGUCCUUUCAACAUAUAUAAUUUGAAAAUAGCUCUUAGGAAUAUGAUUAUUCAAUAUAAAACCACACCCACAAAAUGUAACUAAUUAAUGUUAAACAUGAACAUCACAUGAUAAGAACUCAUAAUGACCCAAAGAAGGUCGAGCUACUUACACAAGUCGGGCAGAAGUGGAAAAUGGCCAGCCUUCAAUGAUCGAUGCCCUAAUUUAAAGAUAUAUAAAAUAAUACAUAUCGGCGGCCAUGAAAACUUGGUUACAGUUUACUCAAAAUCCGGUCAUCAAACACCUUAAGUAUAACGAUAUCAUUUACGCAAGCGUGCCUUUACCGCUAUUAUUUGAGCGAUCAUGCCAUUACAAGUCAAACCAAAUCUAAUCCACCAUUAUCAGUAAUCUAUCUAUCUCUCUGUCUGUCUAUCUAUCUAUAAUCUACCCUACUCAUACGUGUGUGUGUGUGUAUAUAUAUUCUAUAUAAGUAGAAGUAGAAGUAUUCGUACUGUGGGCAUAUGUUUGUUGCUGAAGGUUGUCUCAUUGUGAUCAAUUGUAAGCAUAAAAAUAUAUAAGCAGAAACGGCAGUAAUAUGAAGAAAGUACAACCUCUUAUUUUUUGUUUUCCUUCUGAGCUUGAUAUGAUUCCAUUUGGAGACUUUAUUGCUGCUGCUGCUAGAUCUCCAAACCGCGAAGUCAGCACGGCGCUCUCUGCUCUCCAUAUGUAAGCAAUUUCUCUGCUCUCCAUAUUUAAAGGAGGAAGGCAGUCUUUCUAUUUAUAACUGCCUAAUUAAUGAAGCAGUUGGUUAGUUCAAAAAUAUAAUUAAAUAUGUCGGUGACUUUUAACUGAUGGAGUACUGACUUGAUGGAUCAGUGGAUAUAUAUCAAUCUGAGAUCAACAAAUUAACAUGGUAGAUAAUUUUUUUUUUGGUGAAAAAAACAAGGUAGAUAGGUAAUAGUGUACUAUUUCUAUAUCGAGUAUUCAUCCCUAGCUAGAUAGAGACAAUUAACAAGCUUGGAAGAAAAGGACUCACGUACAUGUUCUGCAUAAUUUACACCAGAUAAGAACAAAAUUAAUGGAGGGACUGCUGAUAUGUGCGCUCGUGUAAAUAUGCCCAAAGAAAAUAUGGCAUCACCGUUUUGCUUUCAUUCUCUUCAAUCCUGUUCAUUCCAGAUCAAACCCUCUCUCCUUCUAGCUUAGAGUUGUAUUCUAAUCCCAAAUCAAAGCAGCUUUUGCAGUUGCCGCCUUGCUUGUAAUCAAAGUUUAAAUCUUAAUAAUUAAUAACGAAUUCAGAAAGAUGUACUAUACAUUUCAACCACAUAUUCACCAAUUAACAAUUCAGUUGAAGUGUAAUUUUGUGACAUAUAUGUACCAUAAUUUUAGGCUUGUUUUCAAAGCUUGAAUUAACCAAAAUCGAAAAUAUAGUUAGUUCUUAGAAGCAUUAGCUUGUUGUUCAUCCUUAAAUGUCUCCACAUUUUGUCUAUCUUUCCACACACGUAUCGGUGAGUGUACUAGCAAACAUAAUGAACAUUACAUUGAUUUAAUUAUAAGAAUUAUAUUGCUGACAAGUGAAAAUUAAAUGUUGAAGUCUAGGGUUUCAAGCAAAAUCUGUAAACUUUUUGUGUAGUGCAUGCAUGCCUGAUGAUCCAGAGGGAUCGAUGGACACUUCCGAGUUUACUUUUUGUUAAAAUUAAACAGUUUUAGUAUUAAUAUUUGAUGUAGGCUUCUUUAUUACUGCAUCACAAUGUAAUUCCUAGCUAGAACCCUCACAAAAAUUACCAUAAACAUGUAUGUAAUUUUGUGUAAAUUUCGUGUGUAGUUUAAAAAUACAUGAUCAAUCCAGAAAUGCCCUUAGAAACAUCAGUAGUGCACAUAUAUUAUUUGAUACAGCUGUUAAAACACAAAAAAAGAAAAGAAAGGUAAAUGUUAUACAUAUAUAUAUAUAUAUAAACUACUAGUAGUGCACGCGUUCAAGCCUGCAUACUUUUCUUUUUUGGUGGUUAUUGAAUUCUUAAGUAUUAUUUACCUUUUGCACUCAAAUGUACUUUCCGGCCGUAUAAUAAUUGCUAUCUUUCUUCAGAGUAUGAUGGCAAUAGCCUCCUUUGCUGCUGGCUAAGGUUUCUCUGGCACUAAUUUUUUGAUCAGAUAAAUCCCCCACCAGAUAUUCUCCACCAUUUAGAGUUCAAAGCAAAAACCACUGAUGAUUAAAAGCAAAAGCAAGUUGCCUUUUCUUCGUCUAUGUCUAGCACUAUCAGCUUAAUAUAUUGCCAUGCAUAUUUCUUUCUUCGACAACUUUAUAUAUGCGCGAAAGAUAUGGAAUGUCGUUGAAAGAUCCCUUUCCAUUAUUAUUGUGAAAUUGGUUGAAAACGCAAAGAUAAGUACAUGAUAGAAAAUUCCUCAAAAAAGGAUAUUCACGUUCUAAGAAAAGUAUGGCACCUUGCAAUUGCAUUGUAACUCACUUGAAAAGUGCGCUAGUCAAAUCUGAUGAGGGGGUCACCCAGACCUUCAAAUCCGAGGAACUUCAAGUCCCCUUGAUAUAGCUUUUAGUUUUUAUUCUUUAAAAACUGAAAAUAAAAAAUUUGUCUAUUAAUUACUUUUAAUUUUCAUUUUUUUUAAAUGAAAAUUUGAAAACCAAAAGUUAAAAACUAAAAACCGAAAGUCAAAAUUUGAACACUUAAAAAAAAAAAAAGUAGCAUUUAAUAUGUGGUUGUCAAUUUUUAGCUUUUGGUUUUUUUUAUUUAAUUGCAAGUAGCUACCAAAUAGUUUUCAGCAAAUAAGUUGUCGGUUAAAAAAAAAAAAAAAGAGAAAACUGAAUUUAUAGUGCAUAUAUAUAAGAUGGAGAUAUGGAUAGAAUUUUCACCAAGUUCCACAAGAUCAAUACAUUGUUGCUGAAUUACAUGCAUUCUGAGGUUAUUUUUUUUUUCUUUCUUUUGUUUAGCAAAGAAUGAGUUGAAUAUUAAAGUGGAUUCCGGAUCCUCUUUACAAGGAUCAUAGAGAUCCUCACAUUCUAUUCGUUCAUCAUAUAUUGUGCAGCCUAAGAUCAUUUUGAAUUUUUUUAUUUAAAAUUAAACACAAACAGUAUCUAACAAAAGUUGACUAUACAAUAUACGAUGAACGGAUAAGAUGUGAGGAUGAAUCCUCACAAAGAGUCCGAAGAGGAUCCUCAUCCUAUUAAAGUGACUCUUAUACACAUUGUAGAAUAGUAUGUUUACAAAAAGCUAUAUACACAGACCUAACGGAGCAUCCACCUAUAGAAACUCUGAAUCCAAGAACCAGAGUCGCUUUAGGAGGAGAGAAAGGGUAAUGCUAGGGGGAUUAAAUUUGUAGACAAAAUUUUAUUAACUAAAUGAUAUGGAAGUUAAUGAUUGAAUUACUAAAUGUUGAUUAACGUGCUUAAUUUUUAUUGAUGACACGUAAUUUAGUUUGCAAAUUUAGUCUUUAAUCUCCUUAGCAUUAUCCGGAGAAAAAAAAGAGAAAAACUUCUACUUUUCUUCCUUCCCUUCCUCCACUCCCUCUUUUGUGGUGACUAUAUUGAAGUUCCCCGCACUUGUUUUUGUUCAUUUUUCAAUCCCAUCCUUCUUCCAAAGUUAUCCCUUUAUAUUUAUUAAUUCAAUAACUCUAAAUCUAAUGUCGAGCCUAAUCAAGAUUUGCCCAUAGUUUACAAUUGUUUCUUGACUAGAUGUUGGUGGCCUGAUUGCGACGCUCAUGCAUGUGAUGACGGUGAUCCUCAUCUCUCAGAGUUUGGAUUUUGUGGAGUAAAAAAUAAUCAAGAAAAUUAUAGAGGCGACACGUAGACUUUUGGAUUAAAAGAAUAAAAUUACCUUUGAUGCACACCAAGAUUCCCACGCACAUGCAACAAACAAUUACGGCUCAAUCAAUGAAUAGUCAAAGGUGAUCAAAAUGAUAUUUAUUCAAAUCCAUCUCAUCACUCCUCAUCAAAUCCUUAUUCAAAAGGUAACUCCCAAAUUUCCUAUUUAUUUAGGAUUAAUUACCAUGUUAAUUGCAAGAUAUUAUUUAACAUAAUAUCUUACAAUUAUUCACACAAUUUCACCAUAUAUGGCUGGUCACUAUUCUCCAAAUAGGACCGGCCACUCCCCCCCAUAAAUAGCCUUAUUCUCCCACUAAAAUGCUAAGCCAUUUGCUACCCAUAAACUCCUAAACACAUUAUUUUCAUAAUUCUAACUUUGGCAUCGAAGAUUUUUCAGCCAAAGCCCCCCCAAUUCAUCAUGGGCGUGUGAGGCUUUUGGCCUUAAUCUUAGGUGUUAUUAUUUUGCAGAUGCAUUUCGUCAAAGGCAAAGACGGCGGAAAUUUGCAUCCACAAAUUGGUGCUUUCAUUGAGAGUCUUGAUUCACACAUUCGAAGAAGACUCUCGCAUUCAAAAGUUUCUCAUUUCUUGUUCAUUUGUAGAUUUUCAUACGUUCUUAUUCCUAGAAUUUUUUUAUAAAGUUCUUUGAAUAAACGUAAAAGAAGAGUACAAUGACUAGAAAUUCAGAUACCACAACGAACAGAAAUUCCUACGUUCAAGGAUUUAGACCAAGUGAUAAAGAUCGUGACGUAUCCCUAACACGACGAUCCACGAGGCUCAACGCAACGAAGAGUGAAACGGCACCACCCCCACGGGGCACCAUUAUGGUUAUGCCAACGGCAGCAACCAUGGUAGCUCACUGCAAGACCCAAGCCCACGAUGAAAGCAUCACCUUACAGCCGCAAGCCCAGGCCCAUGCCACCUUGUAGUAGCGAGCCUAAGCCUGUGCCAUAAGGAAGCCCAGCACGGCCCAAGCUGCAGCUGCAGCUGCCAAAGCGGCGGUCUAAGAUCCCCAGGCCCAAGUCGCGCCGAAAGGAGCUCAUCCCCUAUGCGGUCCAGCAGCCUAGCCCGCGCCCACGAUCUAACCCAUGUCCGCGACCCAACCCAUUCUCGUAGUCUAACCCGAAGUCCAGCUUACUAUCGUGGCCCUCCUAGCAACCAAAACCGGUCUAAGAUUGGCAACCAUCCUAGCUUUAGUUUCUAGACCGACGAUUGAACCGAGGGUAUUUUCACCUCAUUUCCUCGCAGAUUUGACAUAUCCCAACUCAAAUCUCAUGCUUGGAGCCCAUUACACUUCCAUUACUUAAGGAGACGCAUACCGUCCAAUCUCUUCUAACCCAAAUGGUGAACAACACUGGUUUCGGCAAGUCAUAGAGUUGACAAGCACCCUCGCACAGCCGACGACCUUUGUGAAUCAGCUCUUGUAGCUUACCGAGAUGCAGCGUGCCCCAGACGAGGUGUCCUGAAGUAGGACAAGGGUAGAUGACGAACUUCUCCUACAGUGUCUUGGUAAGUAGCCAUUCAACUAGUCAGGAAUCGAGCGAUCAGACAGUGUACACUCCCGAUUGGGCCCUCGAGAUAGCGUAUACUCUCGUCUUAGCGCGCGAAAGAACGUGCACUCUCGGUUACGCCCACAGACGAGCAUACAUUUAUGGUUGGGACCACACUCUGAUAAUCAACAUGAACAACCUUCCAAGUGAAGUGUUUAUUCGCGGCUAGGCCAGCAAAGAGCAUCUUUCACCUCACAUCGGAAUAGGAAGCACGACGGACGAAGAGAAGCAGUCACUCAAUUCGGCUCAAGUUCAACUGGCAGCCUACGAGGAACUCGUUCUCCUACUAGAAACGUGCCACAUGCAGGAACCAGUAGGUCACGACUGAGGGCAGCCGAUAGCUCUGCUACCCCCAACAAAGGGAAAUUCAGAAAGAAGUAGAAAGGCUCCUGACCGAGUGAUUGCGCAAUUUCCAGUGCAACGAGGUCAUUGAUGAGGCAUUAUAAUGGGACAUGACCAACAUAAGCAAGUCACAUUUCACAGACGAGAUCGAGCAAGAAAAGCCUCCACGCAAGUUUAGUAUGCCAUAUUUAUAUCCUUCAAAUGGGAUUGAGAUAUAGAGAGACGCCUAAAGCACUACCAAAGCAUAAUGAUCCUCUAUCGGAACAACGACGCUCUCAUGUGCAAGAUAUUUGCCACCACUCUACAAGGCGAGGCACAAGAUUGGUUCAACACCUUGCCGCCACAAUCCAUCCAGAGUUUCGAUGAGCUUUCUUUGGAUUUCACCAAGCAGAAGUUCGACCACUUGUUCAAUGUGAAGGAGAACCCAAAGGAUCGCUUCGCAAUUAUGUGAAUAAGUUCAAAGUAGAGAAGGAAAAGAUAGUUGAUAGGAGCAUAUUUAUGCGCCUUAGUUAGUUAGUUCUUAUGCAUUUAUGUUAUGUUUUAUUAGUUAAGUUAGUCUUUUAAGCUAUUUUCAUGUGUUUUCAGGUUUUAAGGACAAAGUAAGCAAAGGGAUGCAAUUUGGAGCAUUUUGGAGCAAAAUUGGGCUAGAAUGAAGUUCAUGCACAUGAAGCACAAAGGAUGGACGAAUUUGAAGGAUUGAUGAAGCUAGGAAGGCGUUUCAAAGUUGAAGAAUUAAAGAUACCAAGUUUCCUAGUUGAAGUAGGAAAGAGCUUACAUGAAGGAUUCCUAAAUGAAGAAGGAUUCCUAAUCAAUGUAGGAGUCCUAAUUGAAGAUGGAUCCCUAGACGAAUGAAGUUUCCUACUCAAGCAAGGUUUCCUAUGUGAAGAAGAAGAGUAAAGUCAAAGAAUCAGCUCAAGAGAAGGAUCUUAUCCAAAACCUCAUCCAUAACCUUAUCUUAGCUUAUCUUAUCCAAACAAACCUUAUUCUAUCUUAUCUUAUCCUAAUCCUAAACUAUCCACAUUCUAGCCACUUAUGAGGGUUUCUAACUAGAUUAGGAUGCUUAAAAUGGGAUUUCUAGAAGACCUAAUCUGAUCCUACAAAGGUGGCGCCUAGGAACCUUUCUAGAAGCCUAAAAAUCUGCCUUGUAUUUCUUUCUAGAACCCUAGCUAUGUGCCGCACCCUAGACCUAUUUCCCUUGGGAUUUUGGUUUUCUAGAAGCCUUAUCUUUUCACACUCUUUGUGCUGCACAUUAUCUCUCAUUCCUUUUGGGUUUUGACUUGUUUUCCUUAUAGGAUUGUAUGUUAUUAUCCUAUGCAGUUUAGGCCUUUAAAACCUUGUCCUUGGCUACCUAGGAGAUGAGAUUUUCAGCCUAUAAAUACAAGCCCUUGCCGCACCCUUUCAUUCACCAUCCUCUACCAUAUUUUCACUACAUCAUUCACCCAAAACCCCUCAUUGUGCCGUGAGUUUUGCAAGGAGAAGAAGGAAGAAAUCUGGAGCCGUGCAUGCCAUUCAAGGAGCUUGGAUUGUUGGAGCGUUUCUAGGUGUUUUCUAUCUUUAUGUCAAUGUUUAAAUUUAUUCAUCUUUGUUUAUUUGCGAACAUGAGGAACUAAUUUCUUUAUAGUUAGAGGGGAAUUCAAA